CCCCGCCCGCCGCCUCAAUCCGCAGCCCCCAAACGUUCGUCCUCACCGAACGCCCGCCCGAGACCGGAACCGGAAGCGCGGGCGGCGCCGUGGAUGGAGCGGGCGUUCUUAGCGGUGUGUUCCGUCUUCUCAUUGCGGACCGAAUUCCCCUGGACGUUCGCCCUCAGAGGCGGAGCUCGACACGAAAAGCAUCCGUGGAGCUCAAGUUUGAUGUGAAACCAGGCUCAGGGUCCACCUGUCCUCGCUGAUCCAUGGAUUUCUGUGUGACCAGGUCCCAGGCUGGACAGAGAGUGACUCUACUGGGAGCUGAGCCAUGAGACUCAGCGCGUCACCUACCUGGGCUCCUUCACCCUGGACUGGGACAGCCUCUACUUCAGUGGUUACACCUAUGGAGCCGUGGCCCCAACUACCACCAGUGAGUAUUCCUGGCCCUGGUCUCCUGUGUCCCGUCUGCAUUUGUAGUUUGGGAGCACUUGUUCUCUUUCAUCUG